rnacentral:rRNA from 1 species
UACGAAGGGGGCUAGCGUUGUUCGGAAUUACUGGGCGUAAAGCGUAUGCAGGCGGAUCGUUAAGUCGGGGGUGAAAUCCCGAGGCUCAACCUCGGAACUGCCUUCGAUACUGGCGACCUUCGAGUCCGGGAGAGGUGAGUGGAACUCCGAGUGUAGAGGUGAAAUUCGUAGAUAUUCGGAAGAACACCAGUGGCGAAGGCGACUACCUGGCCUGUUCUUGACGCUGAGGCGCGAAAGCUAGGGGAGCAAACGGG